rnacentral:rRNA from 1 species
AAACAAUUGAAGCCAGUCGUACCGACGGGAAAUCAACUUCUUGAGCGCUUCGCGGCCUUCGUUGCUUUGCGUUAUGGUGCUUUUGGGGUGUACUUUUCCGUAUGGUAGGUCAACAUCGAUUUUGAUCGUCAUAAAAUGAUCGGAGGAAUGUGGCUUCGGUCUCGUAUCGGAGUGUUAUAG